rnacentral:rRNA from 1 species
CCUACGGGUGGCAACAGUCGAGAAUCAUUCACAAUGGGGGAAACCCUGAUGGUGCGAUGCCGCGUGGGGGAAUGAAGGCCUUCGGAUUGUAAAUCCCUGUCAUGUGGGAGCAAAUUAAAAAGAUAGUACCACUAGAGGAAGAGACGGCUAACUCUGUGCCCGCAGCCGCGGUAAUACAGAGGUUUCAAGCGUUGUUCGGAAUCACUGGGCGUAAGGCGUGCGUAGGCGGGUUCGUAAGUCGUGUGUGAAUGGCGCGGGCUUAACCCGCGGACGGCACAUGAUACUGCGAAAGUAGAGUAAUGGAGGGGGAGCCGGAAUUCGCGGUGUAGCAGUGAAAUGCGUAGAGAUCGGGAGGAACACUCGUGGCGAAGGCGGGUUCCUGGACAUUGACUGACGCUGAGGCACGAAGGCCAGGGGAGCGAAAGGGAUUAGAUACCCUGGUAGUC